rnacentral:tRNA from 1 species
UGUAUGUAGCUCAGUGAUAGAGCACUUGCCUAGCAUGAGCAAGUCCUGGGUUCCAUCCCCAGCACUAUAA